rnacentral:rRNA from 1 species
GAUGAACGCUGGCGGCGUGCCUAAUACAUGCAAGUCGAGCGGACAGACGAGGAGCUUGCUCCUCUGACGUUAGCGGCGGACGGGUGAGUAACACGUGGAUAACCUACCUAUAAGACUGGGAUAACUUCGGGAAACCGGAGCUAAUACCGGAUAAUAUAUUGAUCCGCAUGGUUGAAUAGUGAAAGACGGCUUUGCUGGCACUUAUCGAUGGAUCCGCGCGGGAUUAGCUGGUUGGUAAGGUAACGGCCUACCAAGGGAACGAUGCGUAGCCAACCGGGGAGGGUGAUCGGCCACCUGGGAACGUGACCCGGCUCCAGACUCCUAGGGGAGGCACCAGAAGGGAACCUGCCGCAAUGGGCGAAAGCCUGACGGAGCAACGCGGCGUCGGUGACAAGGGCCUUCGGAUCUUAAAACUCGUUUAUGGGGGAAAAACAGAUGUGUACGUAAAUGUGGACGUCUUGACGGUACCUGGUCAGAAAGCCACGGCUAACUACGUG